rnacentral:rRNA from 1 species
UACGUAGGGCGCAAGCGUUGUCCGGAAUUAUUGGGCGUAAAGAGCCUCGUAGCGGUCUGUUACGUCCGCUGUGAAAACCCAGGGCUUAACCCUGGGCUUGCAGUGGAUACGGGCAGACUAGAGGCAGGUAGGGGAGAAUGGAAUUCCCGGUGUAGCGGUGAAAUGCGCAGAUAUCGGGAGGAACACCGGUGGCGAAGGCAGGUCUCUGGGCCAUAACGUGACGCUGAGAAGCGAAAGCAUGGGGAGCGAACGAGG